GUCUCUAGUAAAAAUACAAAAAUUACCCUGGCGUGGUGGCGUGUGCCUGUAAUCCCAGCUACUUGGAAGGCUGAGGCAGGAAAAUUGCUUGAACCCGGGAGGCGGAGGUUGCAGUGAGCAGAGAUUGCACCACUGCACUCCAGUAUAAUUGACACAGCGAGACUCCAUCUCACAAAAGAAAAAAAAAACUGUUAGGAGAAGCGCAGACUUUGAAUUUAAAAUCAACAGGCUACAUUCACUUGCUUAGACUACAAUGUUUAUGAAGGUCUCCAUGGUUAAAUAGUCCAAAGGAGAAUUUGACAAUUAAUAAAACAGUCCAUAGAAUGCUCACACACCACCCCUCUCUCUCCUCAAUGAAAAAUCUGUAAUUCAUAAUAUGAUGCAUUUUAUUGGAACUUCUAAAGGAGAUGAGUCAGAACAUGGUAAGAAUGCUAAAAGGUUUGGAUGAUCGAAUUAUAGCUCAGUCCAAGAAACUAAUUUACUAGGGGUAGUUUUGGGGACAUCUGAUUACUCUGAAUUCACCCUAGUCCUUUCCCACGUCUAAUUAAAUUGUGUUUAACAUUUCCCAAAAUAUUCAUAUUCAGUCAUUGACAUGAAAAACACUGGGAAUCUGGAAGAAGUGCUAUGUGAUCCUUUCGUAGCUCAUAAGCAGAUAGUUGAGUUUUCACGCUCAUGGAUGGAUGUGCCUCCCUCUAACAUUAUCAAGAUGUCGGCACACUACCUGUGUGAUGUAAAUUUUUAAAAAGAAAAAAAAGAAAAAGUGCUGUAUGAAAAUAACAAAGUAGGCCGGGUGCGGUGACUCACACCUGUAAUCUCAACACUUUAGGAGGCCGAGGUGGGUGGAUCACCUGAGGUCAGGAGUUUGGGACCAGCCUGACCAAUAUGGUGAAACCCCGUCUCUACUAAAAAUACAAAAAUUAGCCGGGCAUGGUGGCAUGAGCCUGUAAUACCAGCUACUUGGAAGGCUGAGGUAGGAGAAUCGCUUGAACCCGGGAGGUGGAGGUUGCAGUAAGCCGAGAUCGCGCCACUGUACUCUGGCCUGGGUGACAGAGCGAGACUCCGUCUCAAAAAAAAAAAAAAGAAAAGAAAAAAAAAGAAAAUAACAAAGUAAUAAUAAAAGUUAGCAAAGACAAAAAGUUACAUCGUUAGCAUAAAAAAUUAACCGGAACUAUACGCCCAACUCUUAUCAGUUUAAAAUCCCAUAACUG
rnacentral:lncRNA from 10 species